rnacentral:rRNA from 1 species
UACGGUAGGGGGCAAGCGUUAUCCGGAAUUACUGGGUGUAAAGGGAGCGUAGACGGCUGUGCAAGUCUGGAGUGAAAGGCGGGGGCCCAACCCCCGGACUGCUCUGGAAACUGUAUGGCUGGAGUGCAGGAGAGGUAAGCGGAAUUCCUAGUGUAGCGGUGAAAUGCGUAGAUAUUAGGAGGAACACCAGUGGCGAAGGCGGCUUACUGGACGUGUAACUGACGUUGAGGCUCGAAAGCGUGGGGAGCAAACAGGG